rnacentral:lncRNA from 1 species
GGCAAGCAUAGGGGUUGGGUGUGUGGCUUGCCUGUCUGACUUAUUUCACUGUGGGGCACCUGCAGGCCUGUACGGAGAUCAAUCUGACCUUUGACAGCAACAACGUGACAGACAUGUUCCCUGAAAUCCCUUUCUCUGAUGAACUCCGCCAGCAAUACUGCCUGGAUACAUGGGGCGUGUGGCCUCGGCCAGACUGGCUGCAGACCAGCUUCUGGGGUGGCGACCUUAAAGCAGCCAGCAACAUCAUUUUCUCCAACGGUGACCUAGACCCCUGGGCAGGGGGUGGG